rnacentral:rRNA from 1 species
AUGGCCGCUCCGCCGCGCAAGCGGGGGCUCACCUUCCGCACGGCGGCGCUCGCGCUCCUCGCCGUCCUCGCCGUCGCGCGAGGGCAGCAGCAGUACGAGGCCAACGCGCAGACCAACUGCUACGGCAGAAACGGCAGCUCCGUGCUCGGCUACACCUGCAACACCACCGCCGCGGCCGCCCCCUGCGCCACCUACGUCGUCUUCCGCUCCUCCCCGCCCCACACCAUCCAGUUCUGCCAGGCGCUCCUCGCGCAGAACCCCAGGCACGGCAGCCGCGACCUCGUCGCCGGGAACAACCUCACCGUGCCGAUCUGCUGGGCGUGCCCCUCGCCGGCACAGGCCGCCGCCGGGGUCAGGCACCUGCUCACCUACCUCGUCACGUGGGGCGACAGCGUCUCGGCCAUCGCGGACCGCUUCCGUAUCGACACCCAGGCUGUGCUCCAGGCCAACAACCUCACCGCUAGCGAGAUCAUAUUUCCCUUCACCACUCUGCUCAUCCCGCUCAAGAGCGCGCCCACGCCGGACAUGCUCGUGUCACGGGCGCCGCCGCCCGCACCGGCGCCACCGCAGGCACAGCAGCCGCGGGCGUCUGGCAGCGAGAAGUGGAUUGCCGUCGGGGUCGGUGUUGGUGUCGGCGUUCUUGCGCUGGCGGGCCUUCUUGGCCUGAUGUUGUUAUGUGUUCGCCGGCGGCGGCCCCGGCCAAGCGUUGGGGAAAGGGGCCGCGGGAGCAAGGUGGUUCUUGACGUGCCCUCGUCGGCGGAUUACGACGCUCUUGCCUCCGGCAAGCAUACAUCGGCAGCUACGAUGACCUCCUCAUCUUCAUCAGCGUUGGUGUCCAGCGACGCGCGCGCGGCGGUGGAGUCCCUGACCGUGUACAAGUACUCGGAACUCGAGAAGGCGACGGCAGGAUUCUCGGAGGAUCGGAGGGUCAAGAACGCGUCCGUGUACCGCGCGGAGAUCAACGGCGACGCGGCGGCCGUGAAGCGGGUGGCCGGCGAUGUGAGCGGCGAGGUGGGCAUCCUGAAGCGCGUGAACCACUCCAGCCUUGUCCGCCUCUCCGGUUUCUGCGUCCACCACGGCGACACCUACCUCGUCUUCGAGUUAGCCGAGAACGGCGCGCUCAGCGACUGGCUCCACGGCAGCGGCGCCACCCUCGUGUGGAAGCAGCGCGUGCAGGCGGCCUUCGACGUCACCGACGGCCUCAACUACCUCCAUCACUACACCAACCCGCCGUGCGUGCACAAGAACCUCAAGAGCAGCAACGUCCUCCUCGACGACGACCUCCGCGCCAAGGUGUCAAGCUUCGCGCUAGCGCGGUCGGUCCCCAUGGGCGCCGACGGUGGCGACGCGCAGCUCACCCGCCACGUCGUGGGCACCCAGGGGUACCUGGCCCCAGAGUACCUGGAGCACGGCCUCAUCACACCCAAGCUCGACGUUUUCGCCUUCGGCGUCAUCCUCCUCGAGCUGCUGUCCGGGAAAGAGGCGACAUUCGACGGCGGCGACAAAAGGGGGGAGACGCUGCUGUGGGAGUCCUCGGAGGGGCUGGUCGUCGACGGCGAGGACGCGCGGCAAGGUGCGGGCGUUCAUAGACCCGCGGCUGAACGGCGACUACCCGCUGGACCUCGCGGUCCCCGUGGCGUCGCUGGCGGUGCGGUGCAUGGCGAGGGAGCCCAGAGGGCGGCCCUCCAUGGAGGAGGUGUUCGUGACGCUGUCGGCGGUGUACAACUCCACGCUGGAUUGGGAUCCCUCGGAUUGCGGCAACUCUCGCUCUUCGAUCGUGGGGAGAUAAUACUGCAGAGCAAAAUCACUUGA